rnacentral:rRNA from 1 species
UACGUAGGGUGCAAGCGUUGUCCGGAAUUAUUGGGCGUAAAGAGCUCGUAGGCGGUCUGUCGCGUCUGCUGUGAAAACUCAGGGCUUAACCCUGAGCUUGCAGUGGGUACGGGCAGACUAGAGUGCGGUAGGGGAGACUGGAAUUCCUGGUGUAGCGGUGAAAUGCGCAGAUAUCAGGAGGAACACCGGUGGCGAAGGCGGGUUUCUGGACAGUUCCUGACGCUGAGGCACGAAGGCCAGGGGAGCAAACGGG